rnacentral:lncRNA from 1 species
AAAGUGAAUGAAUCAUUUUGAGUCAUUUGUUCAUUUACAGCAGGCGGCGCUGUGGAUGUUAAUUGGCUGUGAUUCUUAAACACUACAGUAUAUACUGAAGACAACAUGGUUUGCUUCAGCGGACAAGUUACACAAAACCCACAAGCAAUUAAAACCAUCUGAAAACCUACAGUAAUAACGGUUCAAAGUGACUAGCGUUUUUACUGCAGUACCGACGCGUCGCCACGGUGCAGCGAGUGCGUCACUGACUGAAGAUUUUUAAUCCUGCAGCCGGCUGAAAAAAAUCAGGACGCUAGUCUCGUUUUAACCACCAGGUGGUGCAGCGUUGAUUAGAAGCCUCCAAAGCACUACAGCGUAACUGAGGUCCGACUGUUCAUUUCUACCUGUUACACACAUUUAUAUACCAGACCUAUUUUACUAUUAAGUUUUUACUAUUAAGUAUCUGUUGUAUGCUCAAACAAGGGAAGUAUGAAGGGCAACAACUUGUUGAUGGCUUAGUUAUUUUCUGUUCACUGCAAAGUUAUAAUUGUUCUGUUGGUUUAAAACAGGCAGCGCCACAGCAGCAACACAUUCUUGUUUUCAUUCUCCUCAGCUUUUUCGUGUCUUUAAAUACAAGGCGUCUCUUAAAAAUAUGUACACACCCACCGCUCUAACAUCUGAUACAACAUAUUGGCUUCACAUAAUACCAUGAUUAUGCGUCGCGGUUUAAUUAAUAUAAUUUGAAUGCGCAAGUAAAGACGUAGAGCGCAGUCCAUCUGCGACUACAGCCGCUUAUUUAGGUUUUAAACUUCCACAACUUGUUAAUUAAGGUUUUCCAAUUGUCGUAGAUUUUACGUAAAUAACCGUAAUAAUCAUAGGAAUUUGUUUUACAGCAGUUGUCGAUAGUAAUUUUGACAGGACGCAAGAAAUCAGCAGAUCUACAGCGACGCAUUACAGCAACAUGUUUGUUCCUACGCGUUUACUCUGUGUCUGCAGAACUGCAGUUUGACUUGUUUUGACUGUGCGUGUCAUUGUAACUGAGUGGCUGAGAUCACUUAUUCGACCCGUGUACGUUUCAACACUUUCAUUUCCCAUCCGUCCAUCCAGCCACUUUCACGGCGUUUCCGUUUGUCUUUCGAUGAGCGGCAAACGGAUUUUAAUCAAAGCACCGCCUUACAAACCAAUAAAACAGGCAAAAAUAUUUGUUUUUUACA